UAUUAGAAUCUUCAUGGUGGUGAGGGUCCGAAGCUUGGAGUGGUUGUUUAAGCACAUCAGCUAAAGCACAGAUUCCAGUCACCUGCCUGUCUUCAACUGGGGGAGGGUAAUGUGCUUCUAAGUCAAGCAAGACGUAAUUGGGAGAGCCAACCACUGUUUUUCCCACUUAUGUUAGAUUUAUUGCACUCCCACUAAGUCAUUGAAUGGGCCAUAUCUCGUGUUUCUGGCUGUAUUGAAGGGGGGAACUGAAGGGUGGAGUAACCAUUUUGCAUGGGUGUUUUGUGUAAGUUUGGGGCAACUUAGUGUGCUGUGUGCAGUUAAAUACAGUGUUUAAUGGGAUUUGAUUUAAUUGUUUCCUCGGUUUGGUUAUAACUUAUUUUGGUGCUCAUCUCUACACCAGUUUCCCAGGUAAUGCAGUCUAGUUCUGAAUUGUGUGUUUUCUUUUUGUUUUGU